rnacentral:rRNA from 1 species
GAGUUUGAUCUUGGCUCAGAGCGAACGCUGGCGGCAUGCUUAACACAUGCAAGUCGCGCGGGGGGCUUCGGCCCUCAGCGGCGGACGGGUGAGGAGCGCGUAGGAACGUGCCCUGUGGGUGGGGGACAACCCUGGGAAACCGGGGCUAAUACCGCAUAUGGCCCCAUGGGAGACCGUGGGGUCAAAGCCGGCAACGGCGCCAUGGGAGCGGCCUGCGUCCGAUUAGGUAGUUGGUGGGGUAACGGCCCACCAAGCCUGCGAUCGGUAGCUGGUCUGAGAGGACGACCAGCCACACUGGGACUGAGACACGGCCCAGACCCCUACGGGAGGCAGCAGUGGGGAAUAUUGGGCAAUGGGCGCAAGCCUGACCCAGCAAUGCCGCGUGGGUGAAGAAGGUCUUCGGAUUGUAAAGCCCCUUCGGCGGGGACGAUGAUGACGGUACCCGCAGAAGAAGCCCCGGCCAACUUCGUGCCAGCCCGCCGCGGUAAU